rnacentral:rRNA from 1 species
UAGUGGCGAACGGGUGAGUAACACGUGGGCAAUCUGCCCUGCACUCUGGGACAAGCCCUGGAAACGGGGUCUAAUACCGGAUAACACCUCCACUCGCAUGGGUGGAGGUUAAAAGCUCCGGCGGUGCAGGAUGAGCCCGCGGCCUAUCAGCUUGUUGGUGAGGUAAUGGCUCACCAAGGCGACGACGGGUAGCCGGCCUGAGAGGGCGACCGGCCACACUGGGACUGAGACACGGCCCAGACUCCUACGGGAGGCAGCAGUGGGGAAUAUUGCACAAUGGGCGAAAGCCUGAUGCAGCGACGCCGCGUGAGGGAUGACGGCCUUCGGGUUGUAAACCUCUUUCAGCAGGGAAGAAGCGAAAGUGACGGUACCUGCAGAAGAAGCGCCGGCUAACUACGUGCCAGCAGCCGCGGUAAUACGUAGGGCGCAAGCGUUGUCCGGAAUUAUUGGGCGUAAAGAGCUCGUAGGCGGCUUGUCACGUCGAUUGUGAAAGCUCGGGGCUUAACUCCGAGUCUGCAGU